UUGCUGCGUACCUGAGGCCUUCUGAAGGCCUAACCUGAGAGUACUGUGCCUAGUAAAUAAGGAAAAAAUUGAAGCUUUAAACUUGCUGGCUGUUUCAGUAUUUUUGUUUAACACACUGAUGCAAUGAGGUUGUUUUCACUGCAUUUCACAGACCACGUUUUAUAUUAAUAAUUACUAAUUCACCAAAAAUAUGCCAUCAUAUUAGCUCCACCAAGCAACUAACAGCAUUAAUACACAGGAUGUCAUCAGCAUGUUGGUCUUUGCACGUCGGGGGAGCUCACACUACAUUAUUGGCAACCUAAGCCUGUCAUGAGAUAGAAGCAGACUGACUUCCCAGAUAGAAAAACCAAGUCAUGCAGCGAUGACUCAGAGCUGCAUACAAACAAACACAGAAGAUGAGGGGGAUUCUCAGGGAGCUGUCACUGUACAAAAUAAUUUCUGAAGUUGACUGAGAAUUCGCAUACACCUUCCUCCUGCUAAGACGGUCAACAGUUAGCAGGUGAAUCAAAAAUAUCUACUCACCAGGGAAUGUCUGUCAUUGCCUAGAUGUUUAUAUUCUGCUUACCUUUGUGGCAAGGAUUGGCGUAAUUUGAAAUCCCUUACCUGGAUCACAAAUAGACAUAACAUAAAAAACUUAAUGCUUU
ensembl:lncRNA